rnacentral:rRNA from 1 species
UGGGGAAUUUUGGACAAUGGGGGCAACCCUGAUCCAGCCAUGCCGCGUGCGGGAAGAAGGCCUUCGGGUUGUAAACCGCUUUUGGUCGGGAAGAAAAGGUUCUCCCUAAUACGGGGGACUGUUGACGGUACCGGCAGAAUAAGCACCGGCUAACUACGUGCCAGCAGCCGCGGUAAUACGUAGGGUGCGAGCGUUAAUCGGAAUUACUGGGCGUAAAGCGUGCGCAGGCGGUUUGUUAAGUCUGAUGUGAAAGCCCCGGGCUCAACCUGGGAACUGCAUUGGAAACUGGCAAGCUAGAGUGUGGCAGAGGGGGGUGGAAUUCCGCGUGUAGCAGUGAAAUGCGUAGAGAUGCGGAGGAACACCGAUGGCGAAGGCAGCCCCCUGGGCCAACACUGACGCUCAGGCACGAAAGCGUGGGGAGCAAACAGG